UGGAGACAGACUCCUUCCCUUACGGGACCUACACACAGGUGCUGCAUGGCUGUCGUCAGCUCGUGUCGUGAGAUGUUGGGUUAAGUCCCGCAACGAGCGCAACCCUCGUCUCUAGUUGCUACCAUUUAGUUGAGCACUCUAGAGAAACUGCCGGUGAUAAGCCGGAGGAAGGUGGGGAUGACGUCAAGUCCUCAUGGCCCUUACGCGCCGGGCUACACACGUGCUACAAUGGCGGUGACAGUGGGCAGCAAACUCGCGAGAGUGAGCAAAUCCCAAAAAGCCGUCUCAGUUCGGAUUGUUCUCUGCAACUCGAGAGCAUGAAGGCGGAGUCGCUAGUAAUCGCGGAUCAGCACGCCGCGGUGAAUACGUUCCCAGGC
rnacentral:rRNA from 1 species